CCUCCUUGAUUUCAAAAUCAACAUCAGAAUGGUUGAACAAUAUCACCCCAACUGAGCCCCUGUAGUCAGCAUCUAUGACUCCCGCUCCCACAUUGAUCGAGUGCUUCCAGGCCAACCCUGACCGCGGCGCUGCACACCCAAGAGAAUGUUAGUGAAACACGUUUCUUUAAAAAUAUAAAAAAUAUCAAAUUUUCCUUUUCUAUUUUUUGAAAUUUAACAGGAAAAUUGGGGAUCUGGGUUUUACCAAUUCUUGCAUAGGUUCCUUCAGGGACUGCAAUGCUCAGAUCAGUUGGGACCAGGGCUUUUCCUCUAGCCGGUACCUUCGUCUCCGUUGCACUACACAAAAUCAAAGAAACAAAGAAAAAUCCACAUGAGAUUACAAUAAUUUUUCUCGUAAAAAUCGAC
rnacentral:lncRNA from 1 species